ACGUCGAAUAACCAAUGAAACGAAUCAACCUCGAAAUUAUUUUCCCGCCUUUUAGCUUCGUCUCAAGAUACUGCAACCACUCCCUCCAUGGAAUCAUGAGGUGUUUAUCACGUUUUCAAGUUUUGAUACGGAGAAGAUCUUUAUGUAAACGCCAUUGCAUGUUUGCUAGUGAGAGGAGAGCUGCAUAAAAAACCCAGUUAUGUUCAAUUAGGUAUAUAAAACGACGUCAUUCUGCUGAUUUUGCAGGAGAAACUUGCCAUGUCUGCAGCAGGAGGGGUUUAUAUGAACUGAUAUUUUGUGGGCGAUCUUAAUAGUACAAAAGGAGUUAAUAGCUAUAAACGAAACGCAAACUUGAAGCCACCAGCCUGAAUCUGGGUAUGCAUGGGUGAACACAAGUGGUAUUAACUGGAAAGUGGAUUUUAUAGUGUCUUCAAGUCUCUAACCUUAGUAUAAAUGGUAAAAAGAUGAAGCUUAGGUUUAUGGUAUCUUAAGUAUAAUGCUCUAGGUAAGAACUGUUCUCUAAAGGGAUUUUGUUACCCAGCAAAAUUUAUGAAAUUAUCCCCAAAAUUAAGGAUUUGAUGGAUUUGAUCAGGUUAUGGAGUCCUCAUGACUAGUCUAGUUUAUGUUCUUCACUUGUAGCCAACUUAGAUUUCUUACAUUUUGUUGUUUUGUUCUUACAACUUGAUUUCAAAAAAAGGGAGAUUAUAGAUGCUAAUGCUUUUCUA